UCCUGAGGCAGGAAGGAGCAGGAGGCGGGAAGAUGAGGCCAGGGAAAGGAUGUCCUCUUUUGAAGUAGGAGUUGUGGCAAGGCUUCUCUGCAGCGUGACCAAGUCCUUGCUGUCCCUAGGCCAUGCCCCAAAAAUGACACCCCUCUGCAAGGUUAGAGCGGGUCACGUGUGCCUCAGGCCCUUUCAUCUCUGCGCAUCUCUCUCAUCGAGUGACAGCAUGGCCGGCCUUGGGCUGUCUUAGGAUUCAAUCUUCAUGCUGAAGGCUGUUGGAGACCUGAAGGAAUUCAAUAAAAUAUUAAUUGAUUGUGAGUUACUUGAUCAACG